AAAUUGAAAGGCGGCUUCGGCUGUCACUUAUGGAUGGACCCGCGUCGCAUUAGCUAGUUGGUGAGGUAACGGCUCACCAAGGCAACGAUGCGUAGCCGACCUGAGAGGGUGAUCGGCCACACUGGGACUGAGACACGGCCCAGACUCCUACGGGAGGCAGCAGUAGGGAAUCUUCCGCAAUGGACGAAAGUCUGACGGA
rnacentral:rRNA from 1 species